UACGAAGGGGGCUAGCGUUGUUCGGAUUUACUGGGCGUAAAGCGCACGUAGGCGGAUCGUUAAGUCGGGGGUGAAAUCCUGGAGCUCAACUCCAGAACUGCCUUCGAUACUGGCGAUCUUGAGUCCGGAAGAGGUGAGUGGAACUCCUAGUGUAGAGGUGGAAUUCGUAGAUAUCUGGAGGAACACCGGUGGCGAAGGCGGCAUCCUGGGCCGGUAUUGACGCUGAGGAGCGAAAGCCAGGGGAGCAAACGGG
rnacentral:rRNA from 1 species